rnacentral:sRNA from 1 species
GCAUAUUUGAAAAAAUGCUUCGGGACGC